GGAGACUUCUGAGGGAGAGUCUUCGCAUGAUGAAGAUCCCGCUGAGGCCACUGCUGUCUUUGCUUGCAAACGCGAUCGAGCUCAAUUCGUCGAAGAGAGUUUUGAAGAUGACGAACCUCUGGGAAUGCGAUUGGUCCGUCAAAGGACCACUAAUCCCUCUCGCCUGAGCGAGGCUGGACCCUCAGCCACUGCAGAAAAGCCAACUCUCUCGCUAGUUCAAGCAUCAACUAACCCCGUGGCGCCUCUUCCGUCUC